rnacentral:rRNA from 1 species
AACGAACGCUGGCGGCAGGCUUAACACAUGCAAGUCGAACGGGCGUAGCAAUACGUCAGUGGCAGACGGGUGAGUAACACGUGGGAACCUUCCUCGUAGUACGGAACAACUCAGGGAAACUUGAGCUAAUACCGUAUACGUCCGAGAGGAGAAAGAUUUAUCGCUAUGAGACGGGCCCGCGUCCGAUUAGGUAGUUGGUGGGGUAACGGCCUACCAAGCCGACGAUCGGUAGCUGAUCUGAGAGGAUGAUCAGCCACACUGGGACUGAGACACGGCCCAGUCUCCUACGGGAGGCAGCAGUGGGGAAUCGUGGACAAUGGGCGCAAGCCUGAUCCAGCCAUGCCGCGUGAGUGAAGAAGGCCUUAGGGUUGUAAAGCUCUUUUGCCAGGGACGAUAAUGACGGUACCUGGAGAAUAAGCCCCGGCAAACUUCGUGCCAGCAGCCGCCGUAAUAC